UACGGAGGAUCCAAGCGUUAUCCGGAAUCAUUGGGUUUAAAGGGUCCGUAGGCGGCUUUGUAAGUCAGUGGUGAAAGCCCAUCGCUCAACGGUGGAACGGCCAUUGAUACUGCAAGACUUGAAUUAUUAGGAAGUAACUAGAAUAUGUAGUGUAGCGGUGAAAUGCUUAGAGAUUACAUGGAAUACCAAUUGCGAAGGCAGGUUACUACUAAUUGAUUGACGCUGAUGGACGAAAGCGUGGGGAGCGAACAGG
rnacentral:rRNA from 1 species